CUCAACCAAAACAAACACUUGGACUAAGCGUCGAGUUGGUAAUUUUUCUAACAUUUCUCCAUUCCCUGAGCCCAGCUAUCAUACACGUCUCAAAAAUAAAGUGUCUUGAAUAUUAGAAGAAAAGUACCUAUACCUAACAAGAUUAGGUGAAUACCCAAAAUUGUGGUCAUUUUAUUUCUAUUUUUUCA
rfam:Citrus clementina cultivar Clemenules unplaced genomic scaffold scaffold_1, whole genome shotgun sequence.